rnacentral:rRNA from 1 species
UACGUAGGAUGCAAGCGUUGUCCGGAAUUAUUGGGCGUAAAGAGCGCGCAGGCGGUAUGACAAGUCAGAUGUGAAAGAGGCCGGCUUAACCGGCAAGGGUCAUUUGAAACUGUCAGACUAGAGUGCAGCAGAGGAUAGUGGAAUUCCCGGUGUAGUGGUGAAAUGCGUAGAUAGUCGGGAGGAACACCAGUGGCGAAGGCGACUACUGGGC